rnacentral:rRNA from 1 species
AUACGGAGGACGCGAGCGUUAUCCGGAUUCAUUGGGUUUAAAGGGUGCGCAGGCGGCCGUGCAAGUCAGCGGUGAAAGCCCGGGGCUCAACCCCGGAAGUGCCGUUGAUACUGCAUGGCUGGAAUGCGGUCGAGGCGGGCGGGACGUGGCGUGUGGCGGUGAAAUGCGUAGAUAUGCCACAGAAAGCCAAUAGCGGAGGCAGCUCGCCAGGCCUGCAUUGACGCUCGGGCACGAAAGCGUGGGGAUCGAACAGGAUUAGAUACCCUGGUAGUCCACGCCGUAAACGAUGGGCGCUCGUCGUCGGCGGCAGACAGUCGGCGGCCAAGCGAAAGCGAUAAGCGCCCCACCUGGGGAGUACGGUCGCAAGGCUGAAACUCAAAUGAAUUGACGGGG